GCUCCAGUGGUCCGUUUGUGGGAUGUCUUCUCUCUUCAGCAGAAUGUUGAGUAGAUUUCCUUAAGAAAAAGAAAGGGGUUGAGGCCGUGCGAUGACUCAGUGGAUAAAGACGUUUGCUGCUUACGUGACCUGAGAGGACAGCACACUAAGAGCUAUUCAGUCUUCUGCCUGCACCAGCACGACCUCAGCGUUCCUCUUCACCAUCCGAUCCGCACAGCAGAGAAAGGAGUCAAUAGUAUUCCAGUGAGAGUCAGAGACACAUGGGAAUAGGAGCAAAAAGGAUUCUGGAGAUACCCAGGCAGAUGGAGACAACUUUGAACAAAUUCCAUGUAAAAAGUUCUCCAAAUUUUGGAGGGGCCUUGUGUUAUCACAAGAGAGAAAGAUGUCAUUCAUGAUGCUAAGUUGUAAAAUUAUCUCUCCUGCUGCUGGGCAUCUUGAUGGCGUGGCACGGGCAAGCCUAAUCUUGCAGUGUCCAUCAGCGAUUAGACUGGACCCAUAAACAGGAACACAUGCUGACACUGAUGUACUCG